UACGUAGGGGGCUAGCGUUGUCCGGAAUCAUUGGGCGUAAAGCGCGUGUAGGCGGUCCGGUAAGUCCGCUGUGAAAGUCGAGGGCUCAACCCUCGAAUGCCGGUGGAUACUGUCGGGCUAGAGUACGGAAGAGGCGAGUGGAAUUCCUGGUGUAGCGGUGAAAUGCGCAGAUAUCAGGAGGAACACCGAUGGCGAAGGCAGGUCUCUGGGCCACUACUGACGCUGAGAAGCGAAAGCGUGGGGAGCGAACAGG
rnacentral:rRNA from 1 species